UAACGCGUAGGUAACCUGCCUGGUAGCGGGGGAUAACUAUUGGAAACGAUAGCUAAUACCGCAUAAGAGUAGAUGUUGCAUGACAUUUGCUUAAAAGGUGCAAUUGCAUUACUACCAGAUGGACCUGCGUUGUAUUAGCUAGUUGGUGGGGUAACGGCUCACCAAGGCGACGAUACAUAGCCGACCUGAGAGGGUGAUCGGCCACACUGGGACUGAGACACGGCCCAA
rnacentral:rRNA from 1 species